rnacentral:rRNA from 1 species
GACGAACGCUGGCGGCGUGCCUAAUACAUGCAAGUAGAACGCUGAAGAGAGGAGCUUGCUCUUCUUGGAUGAGUUGCGAACGGGUGAGUAACGCGUAGGUAACCUGCCUGGUAGCGGGGGAUAACUAUUGGAAACGAUAGCUAAUACCGCAUAAAAUUGAUUAUUGCAUGAUAAUUAAUUGAAAGAUGCAACUGCAUCACUACCAGAUGGACCUGCGUUGUAUUAGCUAGUUGGUGAGGUAACGGCUCACCAAGGCGACGAUACAUAGCCGACCUGAGAGGGUGAUCGGCCACACUGGGACUGAGACACGGCCCAGACUCCUACGGGAGGCAGCAGUAGGGAAUCUUCGGCAAUGGGGGGAACCCUGACCGAGCAACGCCGCGUGAGUGAAGAAGGUUUUCGGAUCGUAAAGCUCUGUUGUAAGAGAAGAACGGGUGUGAGAGUGGAAAGUUCACACUGUGACGGUAUCUUACCAGAAAGGGACGGCUAACUACGUGCCAGCAGCCGCGGUAAUACGUAGGUCCCGAGCGUUGUCCGGAUUUAUUGGGCGUAAAGCGAGCGCAGGCGGUUAGAUAAGUCUGAAGUUAAAGGCUGUGGCUUAACCAUAGUAUGCUUUGGAAACUGUUUAACUUGAGUGCAGAAGGGGAGAGUGGAAUUCCAUGUGUAGCGGUGAAAUGCGUAGAUAUAUGGAGGAACACCGGUGGCGAAAGCGGCUCUCUGGUCUGUAACUGACGCUGAGGCUCGAAAGCGUGGGGAGCAAACAGGAUUAGAUACCCUGGUAGUCCACGCCGUAAACGAUGAGUGCUAGGUGUUAGGCCCUUUCCGGGGCUUAGUGCCGCAGCUAACGCAUUAAGCACUCCGCCUGGGGAGUACGACCGCAAGGUUGAAACUCAAAGGAAUUGACGGGGGCCCGCACAAGCGGUGGGGCAUGUGGUUUAAUUCGAAGCAACGCGAAGAACCUUACCAGGUCUUGACAUCCCCCUGACCGCUCUAGAGAUAGAGUUUUCCUUCGGGACAGAGGUGACAGGUGGUGCAUGGUUGUCGUCAGCUCGUGUCGUGAGAUGUUGGGUUAAGUCCCGCAACGAGCGCAACCCCUAUUGUUAGUUGCCAUCAUUCAGUUGGGCACUCUAGCGAGACUGCCGGUAAUAAACCGGAGGAAGGUGGGGAUGACGUCAAAUCAUCAUGCCCCUUAUGACCUGGGCUACACACGUGCUACAAUGGCUGGUACAACGAGUCGCAAGCCGGUGACGGCAAGCUAAUCUCUGAAAGCCAGUCUCAGUUCGGAUUGUAGGCUGCAACUCGCCUACAUGAAGUCGGAAUCGCUAGUAAUCGCGGAUCAGCACGCCGCGGUGAAUACGUUCCCGGGCCU